GUGAGUGAUUACGAUUUCAACUGCAGCAGUUAGCCAACAGUUUCCAUCAUUUGGAGAUACAUCGACAAAGGCUGGCUACCAACAGAUGCACCCUUUGUUCGCGUUUCACCGAUGAAAAUGAAAGCCGAACGACAGUUCGACGCGUUUCCCGUGUUCGAUUUCGAGGCAUGCUUUUACCACGUUUCCGGCAAUCUGGAACGGCGGGGAACGUCGUUUCCAGUUGCACGAAAUUCGCCACGGCCAUUUCAUCGAUCGAUCUUCGAAGACUAUCCUGUUUCGGCCGUCGCUCUUCUCUUCCGCUCGCGUGAUCUCGCCCAAUGAGGCGCCGCAUUUUCUCGGUUCCCUUUUCGCACCGAGGAUUUAAAGUUUCGUCGUCGCGGCUUAACUGAAAUUGUUUCGUCCAAUUUCGUGCACGACCUCGAUUCAUCGUUUAAAGAUACGCGGGAUCGUGGAAAUAUUAAUCGAUAAUGGAGCGAGUAAAAAAAGAUGUAUUCUACGUUAAUACGUUCAUCUAAUCGCAUUGGGAAGAUUAUGAAAUCUAAUAGUAAUCGAUCUAGAUUAUCAAGAGAAUGAUCGAUUGGAAUUGGAAGAUAUGUAAGAAUUACUUGCAUCGAAGGGAAUGAUUUUAAUUCCGAAAUAAAACCCUAAAUAUCCUAAAAUUUC